rnacentral:misc_RNA from 1 species
GAUGAAGAACGCAGCGAAAUGCGAUAAGUAAUGUGAAUUGCAGAAUUCAGUGAAUCAUCGAAUCUUUGAACGCACAUUGCGCCCGCCAGUAUUCUGGCGGGCAUGCCUGUUCGAGCGUCAUUACAACCCUCAGGCCCCCGGGCCUGGCGUUGGGGAUCGGCGGAGCCCCCCGUGGGCACACGCCGUCCCCCAAAUACAGUGGCGGUCCCGCCGCAGCUUCCAUCGCGUAGUAGCUAACACCUCGCGACUGGAGAGCGGCGCGGCCACGCCGUAAAACACCCAACUCUUCUGAAGUUGACCUCGAAUCUGGUAGGAAUACCCGCUGAACUUAAGCAUAUCAAUAAGCGGAGGA